CGACCACAAGGGGGCCUAGUGCCAGCAGCCGCGGUAAUACGUAGGGUGCGAGCGUUGUCCGGAAUUACUGGGCGUAAAGAGCUUGUAGGCGGUUUGUCGCGUCGUCCGUGAAAACUUGGGGCUCAACCCCAAGCUUGCGGGCGAUACGGGCAGACUUGAGUACUGCAGGGGAGACUGGAAUUCCUGGUGUAGCGGUGAAAUGCGCAGAUAUCAGGAGGAACACCGGUGGCGAAGGCGGGUCUCUGGGCAGUAACUGACGCUGAGAAGCGAAAGCGUGGGUAGCGAACAGGAUUAGAUACCCUGGUAGUCCACGCCGUAAACGGUGGGCGCUAGGUGUGGGUUUCCUUCCACGGGAUCCGUGCCGUAGCUAACGCAUUAAGCGCCCCGCCUGGGGAGUACGGCCGCAAGGCUAAAACUCAAAGGAAUUGACGGGGGCCCGCACAAGCGGCGGAGCAUGUGGAUUAAUUCGAUGCAGGUUGUAAACCUCUUUCGACAGG
rnacentral:rRNA from 1 species